AUCUCCCCAUACAUUUCGAUUGCCUGUAUCUUUAAUCGAUUGUUUUUCUUUAAGCUGUAUAUUUUACUGAGGUGUGCUAAUACAUAGUAUUCUACAUAUCUAUCUACGAUACAAGUCCGAAAAGUGGGAAAUUCGCAACGAAAUACGACAAAAAUUAAAACAGACCGAAAGUGUUUUAAAUCGUCACGAGUUGCGAAUUACCUAUUCGCACGUGUAUCCUAUAAAACGUUUUACACACCUUAUAUAUGGCCCUUUAAACUUUAGACAAAGGCACGGAAAGUGCUAAUUACCGCACUAGUAGAAGAAGAAUGUAGACCGUACCAAAUUUUAUCAUAAUCAUAAUCAUACGUGAUAAAACUGAUAAAUAAAAUAGUGACACCGCUAACUAGCACCAUUCUUAAGGAUGACACACGUUAGGCCGGGCUGUGUCCGGGCCGGAGCUUCCGGGGCUUACUUUUCUAUGACAUGACAGACGAUCACGUGAAGCUUUCCAUAGAAAACGAUGCGCCGAAAGCUCCGGCUUGCUGGACUCGGCCGGGUCUAACGUGAGUCGUCCUUUAGUAGUAAAGCCCGUCUUUUCUUUAGAUAUAAUGUCAAUGUUUGACGGUAUUACAAAUACUCGUAUUAAUUAAAUAAAGCCAUGUGUCGUGGCUAAGAAAAGGAGCCGGCCCAGCAUGGUGGUGCGGCAAGCCACAUCGCUGGUAUUCUGCCAAUAGGUACCAUAUAUUUUUUUAUUAAGAUUACGUAGUAUCUCCAAAUAAAACUAUGACUCAUUAGUUAAUUACAUAUUAUUGAAAUCGCUCGCCGUAAACACAAUGUUUAAUCAUACUUGCAAGUAUUUUUAUUAUAACAACUUAUUUAUCUUUUUUAGUUUAGUUUACUUUUAAAAUGUUACUGUGCAUUCCGUAAGUUUGUCUAUCUAAUUUGAAUUCUCCCCUCAUCUACUCGAAGGUUAGCUGGAAGAGAUCCCUCACAGGGAUAAGUUCGCCUUUGUACCCUUAUUUCUGUAAAUAUUAUGUAAACCUGUGUUGUGUACAAUAAAGUGAUUACUACUA